rnacentral:misc_RNA from 1 species
UCUAUUAGUUUGGCAUUACCCCGCAAUAUACUAUUUAUGCAUACAGUAUAUACACAGUCACUGCUGACUGUUGGUGCGUUAUCCAAGAGCGAAUCUAAUUGAUAUAACUUUCUCUACAGCUUUUUUCCUCAGAAACGUGAGCAUCUGAGCAUGUCUGGAAAUUUCAUCGUGCAAGGUUUUGUCAUUGAUUUAUAAGUUUAUAUAGUCAUAGUGGCAUAUCUGUUUGAAGCAGCACGGUUUAACGCUGGGCUGCUCAGCUUUACCAAGCUUCAACCCAAGGUUUGGAUUCCAAAUAAUUAAAUAUUUAAUAAAACUUAAUUUUUAAAACGUAAAAAAUAUGAGUUGUAGUUUACACUUAUUUACACAACACUAUUAAAAGGUAAGUUUUUUAAUCAAUAAUCGAUAUGUUUCAUUUAUUCGAUAUCAAAGCUUUGUCGUCUGGUUGUCAAGGGAAACGAACUUACACACAUUCUAUCAUUUUUUGUCAUUUUUCACACAGACUGAACGAAAAACGUGGACAAAAGAACUAUUUUUCACACGACCAUGGACAACGCUACCGAGAAGGAAAAUGGUGUGACUAGAUCCAUUACUUUGAACUUGAAUCAAACCACCCAAUUAGUUUUACCUUCUACUGACAAUGAGAUUUCAAGUCCUAAACUAAGCGAACCAAGACAUCUAUUUUCUCUUCAAAGAGAACUUGGUCCACAACAAGCCCCACGUUGGCCAGCAGAAUGCCAGAUGGCAGUUGCCACACCUAAACACAUCCUUAAGUGCCUCUCAGAAAGGGAGCCUUACUAUCAAGCAACAGGAACGGAACCAGAACCAUCUCCUUGGGGAGAUGAAGUCCUAAAGAGUGGAGGAGACUUGGUUUAUUGUUACAUACCAGAAAGCACAGCCCCAUAUUUUACAAGAUCCAGCACUGCCAAUGGCCUUGCACCAGCGGAUGACAAUCGAUUCCUCGUACCAGAUGAUUCGCUCAUAUUCGAAUCUCGUUUCGAAUCGGGCAAUUUAUCGAAAGUCUUUAGAAUAACAGGGAACUUUUACGAACUUCACUUGCGUCCCGAUCUGUACACCUCCAGACAUUUACAGUGGUUUUAUUUUAGCAUUAAAAACAUGCAAGCUAGAACCACCUAUCGGUUUUCUAUAGUUAACUUUGCCAAAGCCGACAGUCUUUAUUUAGAAGGAAUGAAACCUCUCAUGUAUUCGGAAAAACGUGCGGAUGCAGAAGGAAUUGGUUGGACCCGUUGUGGCACUCGCAUCGCGUAUUAUCGCAAUGAUAACGUGAGAGAAGGCACCAAUCCCACUCACACUCUGAGCUUCACUUUAGAAUUUCCACAUUCGGAUGAUACUGUGUACCUAGCCUAUUGCUAUCCAUACACAUAUUCUUAUUUGCAAGAUAGGCUACUUUUUAUUCAGAACGACGAAGAACGUGCCCAAUAUUGUAAAAUUCGUCUAUUAUGUCGAAGCUUGGCCGGUAAUAGCGUGCAUGUCCUGACUAUAACUAGUCCCAGCACCGAAGAUUCAGAGAAAUCUGGAAUCGUUCUUACAGCAAGGGUCCACCCGGGAGAAACUCCAAGUUCGUGGAUAAUGGAUGGUGUUUUGGACUUUCUGACUGGACCUAGUGCAUGUGCUCAAGAGUUGCGUGAAAAGUUUAUUUUCAAAAUUAUCCCUAUGCUAAACCCUGACGGCGUUAUUGUUGGCAACACCCGAUGUUCUCUUGCUGCGCGCGACCUUAAUCGACAAUACCGUGUCGUCAGUAGAGAGUGUUAUCCAUCCGUUUGGCACGUUAAAAUGUUGAUAAGAAAGUUAAUGGAAGAACGUCCAGUGGCAUUCUAUUGUGAUUUCCACAGUCAUUCUCGAAAACACAAUGUAUUCAUAUACGGAUGUGAAGAUAAAGACUUAAACGAUCUACCUUUAAUAGAACAAGUUUUUCCGUUGAUGAUGCACAAAGCUUCUAAUGGCAAGUUCGAUUUUGAGAAUUGCAAAUUUGUGGUCCAGCGUGCUAAAGAAGGAACUGGAAGAGUGGUCAUGAAACAACUUGGCGUUCAGUACAGUUACACACUGGAAGCUUCCGUUUGUGGAACUCUGACCGGAUCAGAUAGUUCUUUAGUACAAACUCAUUUUAGUAUUCAAGACUAUCAGGAAAUUGGCCAUGUUUUCUGCGAAACUUUAGCAAAUUUCUUCAAUCCAAUUCCAACCCGGUUGAAUUAGGUCCAUUGGAUUGAACGUGCUUUACGUUAUUUAUCAAAUGCUGGAUCCACGGCAGAAGAACCUAUUUACGUUAGAGUUCCCGACGAUGAUAGUCCUGAGGAAGAAAAUGCCAAAAGGUGCUUUCAGUCGAGAAGAUUUUCCCUACUGGUC